CCGAGAUCCGUGCCACUGACCAGAGACACCAUGGCCACUGCAGGGGCACCUCCGCCAGGCCCUGCCAGAGCCAGGCAGCAGCUCCAGCCCUGCCUGAAACUCUGCUCCUUUAGACAGGAGCAGGAAGCUCACGCCUAGAGAGCAGUGGCCAGUGCCAGCCUGCCAGGUUGUCAUGCAUCUCAUGUCAUCCCACCACCAGACUUCGAGGUGACUAUUAUUGGGUGAGACAACCAGGGAGGUGAUGUGACUGGCCUGAGGUCACAGAGCUCAGCCUUGGGGAUCCGAGGAACCAGUCAUCCUCUCUCUCCAGCCCCUCUCAGGGAAUUUCUGCCAACUCCAUGCCAGGCGCUGCCUCCUCUCUCUCAUUGAAGCAUCACUGUAUCCUUUGUGUAUUUAACAAGUAUGUAUUAAGCACCUACCACAGUAACAAGAAGGGUUGUUAUUUCUCCUCCCCAGCUGAAGAAUUGCAGGCUACAGAGAUGCCGGGGGGUUGAGGGGUGAUGCUGAGCUUGAGCUGGAAAUCUAACUUGAGUCUGACUAGCUCCAGGUCCUUGGCUCACCCUGGUCCCCAGCCUCUGGCUUCGGGACCCCUUCUCCUGCCACAUCACCCUGCUCAACCUGGGACCCCCAGGCUCUCCCCAUCCCUCCAGACCUACCCUGAGCCCCUGAGGCUCUCUGACCCUGCUACUCUGAGCCCUCAGGCCUCACUGUCUAUCUGCAGCACAUGGCCUCUGUUCAAUAUGAGAAAAUGUGCUGGUUAAACCCAUAUGUUUUGGGUGGCAAGACCUGGCUCUCAGUCUCAGCUCUGUCACCUCCCAGCAUAUCCUCUUUGAACCUCAGUUUUCUCAUCUGCAAACUGGAGAUGACGAUACUGGUACCUUCCUCACCAGGCCGCUGCUGAAUGAACAUGACAACCACCAUGCGUUAUUACAUUGCAGAUGCAGCAUCCCAGAGCCUGCCUGGGCCCCAUCCACAGGGCCCUGCCCAGUUUGUCUUCAUUCACUGCACUAGGGAGCUGGUGGGCAAGAAGAGCAGCCUCGGUGCUGUUCCACACAGAGCUGGGCUGGAACCAAGCCGAGUCCCACUUGGCUCUAGCAGGUCACUGGAUUCUCUGAGCCUCGGUAUCUCCAAUGGUGAAAGGAGCAUCGCAGUGCCUACCUGCAGGGCCUGAUGUGGAUUGUCCCAAAAGCGCAUGCCACAUGGUGGGGGCUCAAGAAAGCUGUCCCCCUCCCCACCUUCUUCUGGACCACGAAAUCCUGUGGUACACCUAGCCCCUCCCUCACCAGGCAGCCCUCUGACAUCGCAAAAAUUCAGGCUGAGCAUCUGAGCAUU
rnacentral:lncRNA from 1 species